UUGGUGCACCAACGUUCAGCUCCGGAACGAUGACUGGUAAUUUGAGUGAUUCUAUUUAAGAUCAGUAUUGGUCAGUGAGAUCAUCGAAAGGAAUUUUAUUGAACAAGUUUUUUUUAAUGUUAUUUUCAGUCAACAGAAAAAAAUUUUACGGGCAACGUUCGGCUGCAUCAAUUCGAUGGGUUCCAGAUUGAAAAGCGGGACAAGUAUUCACAUGAGAUGAAACUGCCAAUAUAAACGUACCAACCAAAUCAUUAAAAUCGUCGAGUGUUUCAACAGCAUCAGACAAACAGAUACCGCGGCCUGCCUAACCUACACUAUGAAGCACACAAGAAAAAAGUUCGACCUAAAUUCCUUGGCUGUGUACUCUGAAGGUAGUUAUGAUAAGUAAUGGAAGAGAAAGAGAAAUUGACGAACCAUCAGAUCUUACUAUUGCUAGAAUAGAAAUCAGGACAUUGAUGCCUGUCAAUAUUAAUAUUGUUCAAUAUUGACGCCAAUAAUGUGUUCUCACAAUUUGUCAUUAUAAUGUUUGUUAAUAUUUAAUAGACAUCUCAUACAAAAUAUGAAAAACAAAUAGAAAAAUCCAUUAAUUUGAGAAAAUUAGGUAAAGUCGGAGUGCUAUCGAUUUGGCCGACGAAGAAUCGAAUAAAGAGAAAUUCUGGUGCUCCUUUUUACGUGAAGACUUUUUUGAAACGUUUUUGUUAACAUUUUUAUCUUUAUUUUUAAUCUUUCAGAUUCUAUCGAAAUAUUCACAAACUGCUCUUCGAAGGCCCCAUUCUAAAAGAACUCUAGGUAGAUUGUAUGGAAUAUAUAUUUUUUACCACUCCCAACAAUGAAUAGAGCAAAUUAAUUUAAAAAAAAGGAAACCCAGUAGCGCCACGACCAAUGAAGAGCCGUCAUCUGGUGCUGGAAACGGUUCCGACGCAGUCAUUCCCUCAGUGGUUGCAUCAACAAUUUCCGUUCCGAAGGCCACCACCAUUCCUUCCAUCCCACCAGGAAUGUUCGCCCAACACAUCGUAUCAGCCGCUGCUUAUACCUCUUCUUGUGCCAUUACCGAUUAAGAAGCGGAAGAUGGUGACGACGAUUAUGCAUCGUUUCCAGCGAAUAUGAUCUUCGGUCAGUCAAAAUGGGCGAUGAAGAUUAGAAUCAGGUGUUCUGUGGCCGUUCAAAGUUGUUCAGGACGACAAACAGUUUAAGAGGCCUCGGCGAGUUGAAAUUUUGUGUAGCAAAACUGAUCCAAGCAAAUUUCGAAUUGUCAUGCGAGGCGAACAGAUGCACAAAAUUGCUGCCAACCAUUCGAUUGAAUAAGCUUGCGCCAAACAUCGCAAUGUUUUAUAGUCGAAGAGGCAGCAAACGAAUGUAUUAGAAGAACAAAAACUAAAAAAUAAACUAAUGAAAUAAAAAUCUAGCUUUUUGUAACAAAACCGAAAAACCUAAAUGAAUGGCAACAAUGCUAAUUGGCCCAGAAACGGUUCGAAAAACCGUUCUGUUUCGGUCCGAAAUCGGUCCUUUUUUACAGAUGGAUGCUAUGGCAAUCGGCCCAGAAUCGGUUCGAAAAAUCGUUCGGAUUCGGUCCGAAAUCGGUUCUUUUUUUCGGAUAGAGGCUAUGGCAAUCGACCCAGAAUCGGUUCGAAAAUUCGUUCGGUUUCGGUCCGAUAUCGGUCCUUUUUUCGGAUGGACGCUAUGGCAAUCGGCCCAGAAACGGUUCGAAAACCAUUAGGUUUCGGUCCGAAAACGGUUCGCUUGUUUUGACAUUUGAUCUGCUCGAACUGGUUGAAAAAACUUAUCGUCGUCCGAAAAAGUGUUUCAUUUUCGCACGAUUUUCUACUAAACUCGGCCCGAUUUCUUAUACGAUUUCGGACCGAUCGAGCAGAUGAA